rnacentral:misc_RNA from 1 species
UAAAUCUUCGCAUAGCAUUAAUCUCUUAACCAAUGGAGUAAUACCAUAAUAUUCAGCUUCGUGUCUCAAUGUUCGAAGAUCUACAUUCUUUAAAUCAAUAUCCUUUGUACGAAGAUAAUUUAAUAUAAUAGAAAAUAAUUUUGGAUCUCUAUCUAUAAAUAAUGCACCAAUUUCAUCUCUGUGACUGGCAAUUCUGUUACUUAAUAAAGCUGUAAAAAAUGAAUCUGGAAUCCAUGUUAGCGUCUGCUUUGAUGUUGAAAACCUAGAUAAUGAAUAAUUUCAGAUAGUUACAAAAAUAGCUUAAAAAUUAUCACUUUUUAAAUUUCAUAAUAGCAUUUAGUUGUCGAUUAACAAUUAAAAAAGAUUAUAUAUUUAUCAUACUAUGCCUGAAAGUAAGUAAACGCUUUUGUUUGUACCUUGUUCCACCAACGUUCAAAUGUACAAUAUCACUAAGUCCAAAAGAAGGUGGUACAGCCAUCAUUAUAAAUGAUUCAAACUUUUAUUUUGAUGUUGCAUGUCUUAUUUUAAUAUUUCUAAAACGAAAAAAGAAUUAUAUUCUACUUUCGAUAGGUUAUGAACAAGAGAAUAACUUCAACUUCUGGUUAGCUCCACAGUUGUACAAUGGUUACAGAUUACUAGUAAAUGACAAAGAGAUACGGAAGAGAUAAUGGACGCCACAGAUAUUAAUUAAUUAAUAAUUCGUCGAUUUCUCAUGCAAACUUGAUAAUGAUUGAGCUAUUACAAUAAGCCAAACUUUUCUUCUACGGCAUUACAUGGCUCCUCUUUGAUGACGAUCUACGCCAUGACCUUCCCUACACCAUGGUCUACCAUCGAUGAUUACGUUCUUCGCAUCAUAUCGUAAGUCGCAUGCAUUUUUCCUUCCUCCGGUCACUCAAUCAUGUCGUAGGACGAAAGGUCCGAAUCAACACGGGUGAUUGGUUGUAAUUUACGUAGAAUAUUUUGCACGUACAGUGACCGCGGAUAUUUGUUAUAUCCGUGAGUAGUAACAUUUCUUCUAUGUAUUAUUUAUUAGUUCAGGAUAGGUCUUCUUGCACAUUGCGUUUUUUUUUAUAUUAGUUACAUGAUACUGACAAAUUUUAUAUUAAUAAUAUCGAUAAUAGUACUAACUGAUAUAAACGAUAUUAUAUUAAUAAUUAAUUUAAAUAUUUGUGAUUGAAGAUAUAUUCACUAUAA